CCUUAGGCCCGGCAGCAACCCCCGCAGUCACAGGAGCGGCCGCGCCCGCCACUGGGAGGGUGCAGCCACUGGGGAGGGUCUAAUUUGGCUGAGCGGAGGGGACCCUCUCUGCAGGCCGCUUCCCGAAAGGCGGAAAUAGCCGAGGAGGGCGCGCCGACGUCCCCCAGCCCCCGGCCCCUGACCCCUGCCCGCGGCCGCAGCAUGCGCGCCCAGCCGGCGUGACCGGCUCCGCCCGCAGCCGCCCCGCAGCCCAGCCCGGAGCUCUCGCGGGUCACUCGGACCGGCGCCCGGGAGCGAUGAGCCAUGAAGCCGCCCGGCAGCAGCUCCCGACGGCUACCCCUGGCGGGCUGCAGCCUGGCCGGCGCCUCCCGCGGCCCCUGUCGCUGCCCCGCCGGCCCGGUGCUGGCCCGCGCGCCACCCUGCCGCCUGCUCCUCGUCCUUCUGCUGCCAGCGCUCGCCGCCUCGUCCCGGCCCCGCGCCUGGGGGGCCUCUGCGCCCAGUGCUCUGCAUUGGAAUGAAACUGCAGAGAAAAACCUGGGAAUCCUGGCAAAUGAAGACAAUGCAUCGCAACAGAACAGCAGCAGCAAUACCAGCUCCAGCAGUGCAGUGCAGAAGGAAAUCACACUGCCUUCAAGACUGGUGUACUACAUCAACCAGGACUCCGAAAGCCCUUAUCAUGUGCUCGACACAAAGGCCAGACACCAGCAGAAACACAGUAAGGCUGUCCAUCUGGCCCAGGCAAGCUUCCAGAUUGAAGCCUUUGGCUCCAAGUUCAUUCUUGACCUCAUACUGAACAAUGGUUUGCUGUCUUCUGACUACGUGGAGAUUCACUAUGAGAAUGGGAAACCAAUGUACUCUAAGGGUGGAGAACACUGUUACUACCAUGGAAGCAUCAGAGGCGUCAAAGACUCCAGGGUGGCUCUGUCGACGUGUAAUGGACUCCACGGCAUGUUUGAGGACAACACCUUCGUGUAUAUGAUAGAGCCAUUGGAGCUCGUUCAUGACGAGAAAAGCACAGGCCGACCGCACGUAAUCCAGAAAACCUUGGCAGGACAAUAUUCUAAGCUGAUGAAGAAUCUCAGCACAGACGGCAGUGACCAGUGGCCUUUGCUACCUGAAUUACAGUGGCUGAGAAGAAGGAAGAGAGCAGCCAGUCCGUCACGUGGUGUAUUUGAAGAAAUGAAGUAUUUGGAACUUAUGAUCGUUAAUGAUCACAAGACGUAUAAGAAGCACCGCUCUUCUCAUGCGCAUACCAACAACUUCGCAAAGUCUGUGGUCAACCUGGUAGAUUCUAUUUACAAGGAACAACUCAACACUAGGGUUGUCCUAGUGGCCGUAGAGACCUGGACUGAGAAGGAUCAAAUUGACAUCACCAUCAACCCCGUGCAGAUGCUGUACGAGUUCUCCAAGUACCGGCAGCGCAUCAAGCAGCAUGCUGAUGUGGUCCACCUCAUCUCGCGGGUGACAUUCCAUUACAAGAGAAGCAGUCUGAGUUACUUCGGAGGUGUGUGCUCUCGCGUGAGAGGGGUCGGUGUAAAUGAGUACGGUCUUCCAAUGGCAGUGGCACAAGUAUUGUCUCAGAGCCUGGCUCAAAACCUCGGAAUCCAGUGGGAACCUUCUAGUAGAAAGCCAAAAUGUGAAUGCAUAGAAUCCUGGGGCGGCUGCAUCAUGGAGGAAACAGGGGUGUCCCACUCUCGGAAGUUCUCCAAGUGCAGCAUCUCAGAGUACCGAGACUUUUUACAGAGGGGAGGCGGGGCCUGCCUCUUCAACAGGCCAACAAAGGUAAUUCAAGAAAUGCAAUGGCGGCACUUUGUGCCAGACAGUGCAGAUUUCUCUCCACUGUUUGAGCCCACAGAAUGUGGGAAUGGAUACGUAGAGGCCGGGGAGGAAUGCGACUGUGGUUUCCAUGUGGAAUGCUACGGAGUUUGCUGUAAGAAAUGCUCACUCUCCAAUGGGGCCCACUGCAGUGACGGCCCCUGCUGCAACGGCACCUCGUGUCUUUUUCAGUCACGAGGGUAUGAAUGUCGGGAUGCCGUAAACAGCUGUGAUAUCACUGAGUACUGCACUGGAGACUCUGGCCAGUGCCCACCAAAUCUCCAUAAACAAGAUGGCUAUGCCUGCAAUCAAAAUCAGGGUCGCUGCUACAAUGGGGAGUGCAAGACAAGGGACAACCAGUGUCAGUACAUCUGGGGAACAAAGGCUGCAGGGUCAGACAAGUUCUGCUAUGAGAAGCUGAACACGGAAGGCACUGAGAAGGGCAACUGUGGCAAAGACGGAGACCGGUGGAUCCAAUGCAGCAAACAUGACGUGUUCUGUGGAUUUUUACUCUGCACCAAUCUUACCCGAGCACCGAGGAUUGGUCAGCUUCAAGGAGAGAUCAUCCCGACGUCCUUCUAUCAUCAAGGCCGAGUCAUUGACUGCAGUGGUGCUCAUGUGGUUUUAGAUGACGAUACAGAUGUGGGCUACGUAGAAGAUGGGACUCCAUGUGGUCCAUCCAUGAUGUGCUUAGACCGGAAGUGCCUACAGAUUCAAGCCCUGAAUAUGAGCAGCUGCCCACUUGACUCCAAGGGCAAAGUCUGUUCAGGCCAUGGGGUGUGUAGUAACGAAGCCACCUGCAUCUGUGACUUCACUUGGGCAGGCACAGACUGUAGCAUCCGGGAUCCGGUUCGGAACCCCAACCCCCCGAAGGACGAAGGACCUAAGGGUCCUAGUGCCACCAAUCUCAUAAUAGGCUCCAUCGCUGGUGCCAUCCUGGUAGCAGCUAUUGUCCUUGGGGGCACAGGCUGGGGAUUUAAGUAAGCAAUGCCGCAUGUCUUUUUCUCUGUGGCUCGGGCACCUCUCUUUUCUGCUUACAUAACCUGGUUUUGAGUUCCUGCUACGAGACUUUGUUGUUAAGAGCACAACCACAAAAAGAAUGUGCUUCUACCCAGCAGUGGGUUGGAAAGGAAGGACAUGAGCUUCAAAUGCUGUCCGCAGGCAGACAGGGAAGCAUGGGCAAUGGACGGUGGUCACUUGAAUGUGAAGCCGGAGCACUUUAGUAGGAGACAUUCUUGCUUGUAGGAGCAAGUCUCCGGGAGUGCUUUUGGGUACAGUUAGGUGACCAGGGAGACCACAUAAAUUCCUAAUUGUGUCUGCUGGACACUGAUUCUGGUCCACGGGGGUUAGCCACAACCUCAGCCAUCACCUCAUAUGCAACUUUGUAAUUUGAAGACCUUCAUUAUUUACUUACAAAUACUUGAAAAAUACUUUUAUUAUUUCUCUAACCAACAGAAUUUGAAAGCAAUGGCUUUGUGGCCUUUACUGUAACAUUUAUAUGGCUGAGUGGCCUGCUAUGCUUUCAUAAUAACUUUUAAUUUGGAUUGCAUAUUGAUAAGCAAGAUUAUUAAAGUAGACCAUACUGGAUAAUCACAGACAAACCCUAUUGUGUUUAACGUUUUUAAACUUAUUUAUGGUUUAUCUAUUCUGGAUAUUUUGAAUCUCAGAUUUAAUAGAGAGUCACUUCCAUACGUUUCGAUCUCUGGUGACUUGGUUUUUAUUAUUUGUAGGUAAGCCUUCCUCUGCCAUAUAGUCUCUUUCAUAAAUUAAGUUUCAUCCAGAUUGUUUGGGAUGAAUUUAAGUGAGAAAUAAAACCUGCAGUUAAACCAAAGCCCCUAUUUUGCUUCCAUCCAACCACUCAAUGGAAGAAGCUUUGUUUGGAAGGAACGUGUAGUGGCCUUAAUUAAAACAGUUAAAAUAUUAUUAUUAGAAGUUGAUUAUGAAAGAAAAGAUACCAAGAUAUAAUCAAAAUAAAUGAACCUUUUCUGCUAAUUUGUUAUGGUGUUAAGAUUUAAUGAAUAAGUCCAUAGCAUUUGAGGGGCUUCUACUUGGAAUGUUUAUCGAAUGGAGCUUGGUUUCUACACAGCUGUCUAGAAAGUUGCACUUAGUGAAAUAGCACUUUUCUCAUCAGCAUGCUGGCAGAAACACGCAAACUGAACAGGCCCCUCCUAUUUGGAUUUCUUCUCAUUUUAGACCAUUGUCCGUCCUGGAUCACAUAAGGGGAAUCUCAGAAGUGGUGUGUUUUUCUUUGGAUUUUCCCCAUUGCAGGGGAAAACUUUUCUUAGUGCCCCACUACUGUGAAAACAUCACUAUAUAUUAUAGAAAUUGUGCAUUCUAUUUAUAAUGCUUCCUUUUAAAAAAUUACAUACGCCUCCGGAAAAGAAAGUCGGCUCAUUCUGUGGCGUGCACCUCCUUGGCUUUAAGAAACAUUCAUUUCAAAGGCCCAAGAAACUGUCUCCUGCGCUUCAUGGCCACCCAACGCCAUGCGAUGCCAGAUGCAGUUUCUUUGUUCUUGAGGAGAGCGCACUGUUCUGUAGCAGGACCUCAAACAGCAGCCUGGCUGGCUCUCAGCUUGAACCGCAUGUCCUGGGGAGAAGCCUUUAUCACUGUGUCCAUUUGUGGGUUGGGCUCUGUGCGAACGAUUUCCAUCUAAGAGAGCUGUGCAGUCAUUGGAAGAGCAGGGCACAGGGUGAGGGGUUGUCACUGUCAACCAAGCAAGACUCAAACCCGGCUCGGCCAACUUUGUUUGGGGACUGUGGUACAGGGACACUUCCAGGGGAGCCCCGUUAAAGCCCCUUCCGAUUUCUGCUGUCACUUCUGAUAAAGUGUAGAAAGGCACAAUCCUGCACAAAAUGUGCUCUAAAUACUUUGAUGCCUUGGGGGCAGCAGGCCAAGAAUGUUUCUCAAAGCUUUAACUUCUCCUUUGUUUAACUUCUGGAACUGGAAUUUGGAGACACUCUUGUACUCCAUGCUACGAGUUGUCACCCUGGUUACUUUAGAUCUUACCAAGGCCUGGUAGUUUGUAUCGAGCUGGGAAUUGUUAUCCCUACCUCACAAUGGAAGGCUGUCUGUGCUUAGCAAUCAUGCUCAAGUUUUCCCACCACUGGGACAGUUUUGAAGACGAUUAGAGAUAAUUUGAAGUACUGAGUUGGAAGCCUUUCAGAGUGUCACUGAGUUCAGUGUAAAUAAAAAGUUUCCUUUAGAAGCAGAAAUUGGAAAUGGCUGGUAAAGAAGAUUGUUCUAGAUAGCGCUGUUGGAAAUCCUUCCUGAAAUGGGGGCAUUAUUCCUGGGAGAGGAGAGAGCAGAGCUGCCGGAAACCUUUGAGGGUGGGUAAACAGGUGCGACUGAUCGGGAGACAGCGCUUUUCCCUGCCGUCGCCUCCGCUUAGGUGUGAUUUGCUGAGUAGGUUGGAUGUGGAGGAGAGUCACAACCAUCCUUUACCUGCACAGGCAUAUGGAGGAGACAGGCAAGAGACACAACUUCGCUUCCCCUCACCACUGUCUCACUGAUUCUUUCCUCACAGCACACCUGUGAGUUAGAUGUUGAACCACAGGACUUUGGGAGGAUGUGGAUAUGGGGGAAGGGGGGUUGCACUUUAUGUUCUUAACGUUAUGCAGAUGUAUUUGAUGUAUUGUGAUCUGAAAUUGACACAAAUUUAGGUUGCUUCUUUUUAGAUCAUAGAGUCUGAAACCUUUGGUUAAUGUCCACAGGCCUUUCACAUGCAAAGUUGUAGAAUUCCCCAAAAAAGAAAAGAGUACUCUUUGUUGGGGGUCUCGUUAUGACAUUCAUGAAUUCAGAUAUAUUAGUAAUGUCAAAUGGGCGUGUGUUAUGUUGGGUAAAUUCAGACUCUGUUUUGAGGUCUGGAGGGUACUGAGGCGUGACUGAAUGGCUGAGUUUCCAGGUGCUGAGAAUCUUGUGCUUACUUCUGAGGCAUUUUGUGGAAAACAAAUGUAGGCUUUGACACACCAACCUGCCUGCUUCUUCCUGUAUCUGCAUUUCUUUUUCCUGGCUCCAUCCUUUUCCUCUUCGUCUACAGAAUGAGGUUGUGAGCUGUGGUAAGGGAGUCGCUAACUCUGACCUGGUUGACUCUCGGGCCCCUAGUCCCUAAUUCAUACCGAAUAAUAAUGAUACCCAAACUACUAGAGUAACUGGCUUCUACUGGACACUUGAACAGAUAAAUUAGAUGACAGAUUGUUUUAGUAUCAUCUUCCCCAAAGCUUAGGGAAAAUGGAUCUAGAUUUUGCACAUGCAUUAAAAAAUAAACUGUGCCGCCAUUAUUACAUUGGAGAAAACUACUUAUGCAACCCACCUGUUUUAGUUAGGGUUACUACUGCUGCAAUGAAACACCAUGACCAGAAAAUAACUUGGGGAGGAGAGGGUUUGUUAGUCUUACACUUCUGUAUUAUAGUCUAUCACUGAAGGAAGCCAGAACAGGAAUUAAAGCAGGGCAGGAACCUGGAGGCAGGAGCUAAUACCGAGGCCAUGUAGGAGUCCUGCUUACUGGCUUGCUUCUCAGCCUGCCUUCUUAUAGAACCCAGGUCCACCAGCCAGGGGAUGCCCCACCUACAAUGGGCUGGCCCCUCCCCCAUCAAGCAUUAAUUAAGAUUGCCUACAGGCGUGCCUCAGUGGCGGCUCAUCCCUCUCCAUGACUUGAGCUAUGUCGAGUUGGCUGUAGUCAGCAAGGCACCCAAAGUUUGAACCCAAGGAUUUAGAUGUGAGCCCAUGCGCACAGUAUUUACCAAUAUUUCAAGUAAUAGCUGUGGGGAAAUCAAAGUUCUUGGCAGGGCAAGAGAAGGACAUGAAGCUGACAGUGAGAUAAUUUGCUGGCGUUGAUGCCAGAGUGAGAGUGGGCCGUUCCACCAUGUUAUAGUGUCUUCAUAUUGGAAAAGUAUCACUUGCCCCACUAUCCCACCUGAUCUCCAUAGGUCCCAAUGGCAAACAAGUUUCCGCCAUUGCCAGCAGAGACUGUGUGGGCAGUUAUAUGCCCUCUUAGGGCAGUUCUUGCUGAGAUGUUCCUUUAUCAGCCUGUGAUUAUCGCAGGUGGCUCUCUCUCUCUCUCUCUCUCUCUCUCUCUCUCUCUCUCUCUCUGAGAAAGCACUUGCAUUAGCACUCUCUCUUAGCUCGAAACGAUUUUUUUUUUGUUAGCCUGGGCUCCAUUGUAUUCCAUUUCUUAUCCAAAUAAAAGAUUGUCAUAAUUGGUCCUCUUCUAAAAUGACAGUUGAAAGGCUAUAGCCAGAAAAGUAACUGAAUCUCGAUGGGGAAGGGAAUUAUUUUAAUUUUCUUGAAGUUAGGAAGUGGAAUAAAUUUUGUCUAGUUUCCCUAUGAGCAGAAUAACUAAAUUGUUGCUUUCGCUUCUAAAUUCCAUGUCAUAUUCGAAUGCAGAGCCACAUUUUUUGUUGUUGUCCAAGCCCGUGGAUUAGACCCUUUAUUCUUCAUCUGCCACCAACCAGGAACAUGCAUGACUUUCCUGACUCAAACUCCCGAGGAAAUGAGCUCAAUGCAAGGUGGCCUAGAGGUUAAGUGUGUGUUGGGGGGUCUUUGUUGAUGGGCAUGGGGACUCAGAUAAAGAAUGUGACAAUAAGUGGCCUGAGAUGGGUUGGCAGUAAAGAACACUCGGUGUUCUUGCAGAGGACUGGGGUUUGGUUCCCACAUGGUAGCUUGCAACUGUCUAAAACUCCAGUUCUGGCAGAGCUGGUUCUGCUUGCUUCCUCAGUCCCAGGGCAUUGGGUAUGAAUGAACGCACUUACCUGCGUUCAGGCACAACGUUCCCACAUCAUUCUGUUAAAGGUUGUAGUAGUAGAUAACUCUCCAUUCUUGUCAGAAGACCCAUCUUUUGUUACCUAGAGGUUUUAAUGUCAUGUGGAUGUAUAUAAUUACAUGCAUUUAGACACAAACUUAGAUUUUCCACAAGUACAAAAAAAAUGGUAAAAAUGUUGUCAUGGUAAUCCUAAGGAAUCGUGUUGAUAUUUUAUGAUGGUCCAGAAAUACCUUUCUGCUUGUAAUAGCAAAAUUACCUUCGAAAUUCAGUGAGCAGAGGGCAUUCAGACAAAACAAUUUGGAAAGGGAGCCAGCAAGAACCCAUGAAUUAUAGUAUUCACUUUCACACUGAAGCUCAACAGAAAGAGCCUUCUGAACAUGUAGAAAAUCCAGGACAGGCAAUGUUCAAUGUAUAGUGGCCCCUAGUGGAUGUACUGCUUAACUGUAAAGGAACCUCACAGAGGGCUUGCAGGGUUCUUUCUCUCCUGAUCUAUGGUUUCCCUCUCCCCUGGGCUGCAGCUUGCUUUUUCCACUGUUGGGACUUCUCCAGACUGCUGUUAGUACUGCUCAGUGGGAACAUAGGGCUCUAUAGGAUAACGACUCCUUAGUUUGGCCCAAGAUCCUGGUAACCCUAUAGACUGUUGUUCUAUGGGAAGAGUGCAAUCUAAGCUUCAAAAACUGACAUUUAAGAGGAACACACACUUUUGGACACUAGAGUUUCCUGGGUGAUAGGCUGAACGAGAAUGUUAGAUCUUUCCUUAAAAACAGGCUCCCUGGUUGUUCUGACCUUGAACGGUAGCUGCAUUUGAAUGAAAGAAUUCCGAGUUGGGUAGUGAGGUCACGUCCUGUUCAGUGCUGGCUGGGUUUGUUCUGUCCUCUGGGUUGACAUUUGAUGGUUCUUCUGAGUUCCAUCAAUGGACAGCUGACUUGGGUAGGGUCUCUGGUCCUCUGGGGGAAUUUCUCAAGGUCAGGCAGUUGGUGUUUCUCUUCCCUGAGUCUUUAGUAGGAAUUACCUCUCUUAUACAUCUUCUCAGAGAGCACGAGCCUCGAUGGCAGAUGCAGGUCCCGAGCUCCACAGAGUUCCUUUGGUGGCAAACACACUUUUAGAGAUGCCCCGUGCAUUCUUACCUAUGCUUCCGGCGCAGUCAGCGAUGCCUGUGCUCAAUCAAGAUCGU